GUGCUCGCUUCGGCAGCACGUGUACUACGAAUCGGAACCAUACAGAGAUCAGCGUGGCCACUGUCCAAGGAUGACGUGCAAAUUCCUGAAGCGUUCCACAUUUUU